UUCCUGUUACCCCACAAGUUGGAACCCACAGAAGCCUGAAGCUUCCAGUGAUGGGGGAUUUGUGAGGCAGGAAAAAUAGAAGCUUUCUUCCUGGGGCUCCAUCUGCAGGGACCUGGCCCCAGCACCUUGUCCCAUAUUCGAGCGCAGGGACAGGCUCAGGCCACAGAG